GUAUUUUUUCUCGGUAUGUGUCUGGCUAGGAAACGCUGGCGGCGUGCCUAACACAUGCAAGUCGAACGUCCUCUUGUUUUUCGGAACGAGAGGGAGUGGCGGACGGGUGAGUAACACAUGGGUGACCUGGCCUGAAGUGAGGGAUACCGGCGAGAAAUCGCCGACAAGCCCGCAUGGGUUCUCUGCGGUGGAGCGCAGGGAGCAAAGUUUUUCUUGCGAAAGGGAGACGCUUUGGGAUGGGCCUGUGGCCGAUUAGCUAGUUGGUGGGGUAAGAGCCCCCCAAGGCGACGAUCGGUAGCUGGUCUGAGAGGACGAACAGCCACACUGGGAUUGAGAACGGCCCAGACUCCUACGGGGGGCAGCAGUGAGGAAUUUUCCGCAAUGGACGCAAGUCUGACGGAGCAACGCCGCGUGCAGGAGGACGCUUUUCGGAGUGUAAACUGCUUUUCUCUGGGACGAGAGUGGACGGUACCAGAGGAAGAAGCCCCGGCUAACUACGUGCCAGCAGCCGCGGUAAUACGUAGGGGGCGAGCGUUGUCCGGAGUUACUGGGCGUAAAGGGCAUGCAGGCGGUCUGGCGCGUUUUGUGUGACAGCGGGUGGCUCAACUACCCGAGCAUACGAAAGACGGUUGGACUUGAGGGCUCGAGAGGGACACGGAAUUCCGGGUGGAGUGGUGAAAUGCGUAGAGAUCCGGAGGAACACCGAAAGGCGAAAGGCAGUGUCCUGGCGAGUGACUGACGCUGAGUGCGAAAGCCAGGGGAGCGAACGGGAUUAGAUACCCCGGUAGUCCUGGCCGUAAACGAUGACCACAGUGUGGGAGUAUCGACCCCUUCUGUGCCAAAGGAACCCAUUAAGUGGUCCGCUGGGGAGUACGGUCCGCAAGAUUAAACUCAA
rnacentral:rRNA from 1 species